GAGAAUAAGUGUGUGUUGUUUUAACCCAUUAAAUUUGUGGGAAUUUGUUACAGCAAACUAAUGCAAGACAUGAUCAAAAUAUGCAAUGAAUAUUUACGUUUCUAAAAAUUUAUUACAGUGAAAGAUACAGUGUCAUUAACGCCCUGAAGUAGUACUCCCUCCUCAUUUGGAACACAUUUAUCCCAUUGUUCUUGCCACUUUCUGAAGCAGUUCUGAAGUCCUCUUUUGCAUGUCUUCAUGAAAUGUGAUCCAAAAUGUGGUGAAUGCAGUUGCUGAGUCCCCUUCACUAAAAAGGCAGGUGCGUGGAAACAUUCUUCUAGGUCUUCAUCCACCUUAUUCACUGGAUCUUGCACCAUGCAACUUCUGGAUCUUCCCCAAAGUCAAAAUGACCAUGAACGGUAAGUAUUUUAAAUCAUUUCAGGACAUCGAGGCAGCCGUGACACCACAGCCAACUACAUGCACUAACGAGGGCUUCAGAAAGUGGCAAGGACAAUGGGAUGAGGUUUGAAGCGAGAGGGAGUGUACUGCGGGGGGUUAAUGGCAAUGCGUCUUUUACUGUGCUGUGUUUUAAAACUGUGAACGUUCCCUGUAUAUUUCUGUCACAACUCGUCCAUCUCUCCCAUCCAGAGGACUCCUUCAGAACCCUGACCCAGUCUGCGGGAGGGGUCAAAGGCAUCCACGGUGCGAGAUGGUACUUGACCUCAUCUACAAUAUCUGACCAACUGUAAAUUUUACACUGAUGAUCUCUUUUUAGCACUGAUCUUCUUAUUGGAAACUCUAGGAAUCUGGAACAUGGGCCAGCUGCUUCCAGCCUAAGUAGUUCCUAAGGCCAAUAAACUACUGUACCUAGGGUGCAUGAGGUUGCUAGAGCUGCUAGAACAAAACAGCACACUGGGUGGCUGAACAACACAGUUGACUUCUCACAGCCCUGGAGGUUGGAAGUCCAAGCAUGAACGGGACCCCAGGCUUGCUCCCCAGCACCUCAAAAAUCGAAAAAUAAGAAGGAAAUAUUGAAGGUGUAAAAGAGUAUACUACGGACCAACAAUAGAGAAGGCACAUACCUUGGAAUGGGAAGUUUUAGUAUUUAUUUCAUACUUUGAUUCCUAUGUUUUAAUGUGUUAACUGUUGAUGCUGCCAUGAAAAUUAUGUCGUGAAGCCCUCCCACCUUAUUAUGUUAUCUUUCAACAAGAAAUAUGGAACUAAAAUGAGACAUUUCCAUCCAUAUUCAGUAAACCACACAUACAGAAGGAAGACCAGGAGAGUGGGAUUUGGUAGAUAGGAGAGCAGGAGAGAAUGCCAUAUGUGUUCCUGCUUGUUGAAAUCCUAUGCACAGCAAAAGGCGUUCCAUUUAGACUUAUUUUGGAAUAAAACUAAGUUCAUAAUUUUAAUGAUUGAGGUGAGAAACUAUUCUUUGUUGAUUUUAAAAUACGUUUUAGUUGGCAUUAGCAGUGUUUAUUAUCCAACUCAUUUGUGUAAGUCACCCCGAGGGAAACUAAAUUAAUCAUUAAUUUAGAAUUGUCAACUAAAAAGUCAUCAAUACCUCAAAGCUAUUUAAAACAAUAGUAAAAUCACUUUUUGUGCACUCAGGUAUUUUCUACGUUUGUUAGAUAUAUUUUUUCCUAAAGCAUUUCCAAAUUCCAUAUGUGUUACCUUGUGUUAUCACUUACAAUAUUAAUAAUCAGAAACACCAAAUUAACUUUCGGUCAGGUAGUUAAAAAUUAAGGAAAUACUUUUCAAAGAGUCCUGAAUUUUAUGAAUUUCUUAUUAUACAAUAUUACUCUUUCAGGGCCUUAAGAGGGUUAAAUAAAAAAUAAACGAGUAAAAAGUCUGAAGGGCAUUUAGAACCAGAAUCACAUUUCCAUACAGAACAUAAUUAUCCCUUACUGUGUA